rnacentral:rRNA from 1 species
AGUGAACGCUGGCGGUAGGCCUAACACAUGCAAGUCGAACGGCAGCACAGUAAGAGCUUGCUCUUACGGGUGGCGAGUGGCGGACGGGUGAGGAAUACAUCGGAAUCUACUUUUUCGUGGGGGAUAACGUAGGGAAACUUACGCUAAUACCGCAUACGACCUACGGGUGAAAGCAGGGGAUCUUCGGACCUUGCGCGAUUGAAUGAGCCGAUGUCGGAUUAGCUAGUUGGCGGGGUAAAGGCCCACCAAGGCGACGAUCCGUAGCUGGUCUGAGAGGAUGAUCAGACACACUGGAACUGAGACAAGGUCCAGACUCCUACGGGAGGCAGCAGUGGGGAAUAUUGGACAAUGGGCGCAAGCCUGAUCCAGCCAUACCGCGUGGGUGAAGAAGGCCUUCGGGUUGUAAAGCCCUUUUGUUGGGAAAGAAAAGCAGCAGGUUAAUACCCCGCUGUUCUGACGGUACCCAAAGAAUAAGCACCGGCUAACUUCGUG